ensembl:snRNA U6 U6 spliceosomal RNA
GUGCUUGCUUUGCUGACACAUCUAAAACUGGAAUGAUAAGAGAAGGUUACUAUAGUGCUUCGGCAAAGAUGACAUGCAAAUAUUUGUGAAGCCAUUCACAUUUUU